GUGCGUGGCACUUCGGGGAACCACAUCACCCAUCUGUGCCUGGACUGUCAUACUGACCUCCAGUAACAAACAAACUGUCUCAAGAGAUGCCUUGGGGCCUUGGCGACAAUGGCGAAGCUGCCCAGGCCUUGGGCAUAGUGUUGGGGAGGCAGAAUAGUGCAAACAGAGUGGGUGAGAAUUCCAGGACGGAGAAUCCUUGCAGAACUGCCUGAGGUCACAAUCCUCAGGAGGACAAGGUGGACACUGCUGUCCUUUCUGUACUCACAGACUAGACGCCAGCGGGUAGACUACAGAGAUUCUCUGCUCCACAUCACCCUGAGUCAAGGUGACGCUGUCACAACCAGUCAGUGUCAUAUACAAGGAUGCCCCUGUGGGGCUGGGUUUCACCUGCUCCUGGAAACUCGUUCUUAAGGGUUUGUGAGCCUGGUCAUUACACAAUGGGCAUUUUGAAGUUGGCCAGGAUGCUGGUUAUAGAGGCCAGAAGAGGAUGCCAGACCCCCAGGAACUGCAUCGUGGUCAUGACUUGACGUGUAGAGGCUGGGAACUGAACCUGGUCCUCUGCAGAAGCAGCUGGUGUUCUGAAUUGUGGAGCCAUCUCUCCAGCCCAUGAAGUAAUGGUUUCAAUCUCCAACUAUUUUAUAUUUGUUAAUGUUUUACAUUCAGGUGUGUGUGGGGUGUGUGUGUGUGUGUCCCCUUGUGCCACCGUGCACAUUCAGAAGAGAAUAGCUUUCAGGGUAGGAGUUGGUUCUCUCCUUCCAUUAUUUGGGUUUUGGAGAUCAAACUCAGCUCAUCCAGCUGGAUGGCAAGCACCUUUACAUGCCGAGCCGCCUCAGCCAGCUCCAAAUAUUUGAAAUACAGGGAAACGUGCCCGGGUAUGUAGCCCAGUUAGGAGCGCCACAUUAACCAGGCAUGGUUGCACACUCCUUUGACCCUAGCACUCUAGAGACAGAGGCAGGAGGACUAGAAAACCAGGGUCAUCCUUGGCUACAUAGGAAGUUUGAAGCUAGCCUGGGCUACAUGACAGCCCCAUCUCAAGACAAAGCAGGGCGAGUGUGGCUUCUCAUUCUUUUUCCGUUGGCCCGUUCCAGCCCCUCUCCUCUCCAUCCCUUCAGGAACAGUGCCAAAGGGGUUAACGCCUAUGGCCUCUCCAUCCCUGGCCCUCGGUGUACCACCUGUUCUGCCUGGGUUCUGGCCUCAGGUAGGGCAUAAACAUCCCCAGUGACAAAUAGCCCCACGAGUGGCCAGGCCAUCACGGGAGCCCUCUGCUCUCUCCACCACCUGCUCCAGCUCAGCUAGAGAAGGGAAAGUGGUGGAGGGCUUGAAGCCCAGUCAGAGUCAUCCAUCCUAAGUAAUUAGCUGCCACAGACAACGCACACCUGCCAAGGGGAACAGAACUUCCUCCGCCCCGCCAGCCUCACAAACUCCCCUGCCCCGGGCCCUGCCUCCUGGGGCUGCUGGGGGAUGCAAGGAGGCUGGGAAACCAUCUGCCAGGGCACAGGGGCUCUUCACAGAUCAAAAGCCAAGACAAUUCUUUCAAGACUGGCCCUGUCAAAUGCUGCCAUGCCCUGCACAUCUUCCCUUCAGGGCUCCUCAGCCGGCCUCCCCUUGGCAGGGGAGGGCAAGUGUGUUUCACAGACGCCACCGGUCACCUGUCCCAUGUCAUUCUUACCUGAAACUGUUCAUGUUGACACUUGGUGGCUCACUGAUGUAGGGGCACAUGAAGGGAAAUCAGUUGUUUCUUUGUCCUUAUGAGAGACUCCCAACGAGAGAUUCUGCCAUCUCUGGGUGCUGUGGUAUCUGGAUGUUAACCAUGGAGACACAGAAGUCACUGUGGCCGUGGAGGAGAGCUGGACUGAGGGCAGAGCUGACAUACCCACAGGAACAGGGAAGGAGCUGAGGUCGCCAGACCCUGCCUUCCCACCCCGGAGGGACUCCUCUGGACUCCCCCUGCCUUCCACCCUGGAGGGACUCCUCUGGACUCCCCCAGUGCGACAUGAGAAAGAUCAUUAUCCACUUGGAGCUGGGCUGGCUGCCAAAGGCAUCUGAACACUGUGAAGGCAAUGGCCGCAGGUCCUUUCGCAGUGGAAUCCCGCCCCUAUGCGACACCCUGGUUUGGGCUGUCCCUGAGGUCCAGGCCUAUCAUCUGCUCUCUCUCCAUAGGAGCUAAUGCGGUAUUCUCUGUCACAAACACCAACCCACUUGAAGCCUUUCUCUGGUACCUUCAGGCCACUCGGGCUGUGUCCCCACAGGCCAGAAGUGAUAGAAAUCGCAGUCCCAAGAAGAGCCUCAACCAGUAACUGAGAGAGCUGUUUGUUUGGCACCUGAUGCCCUGUCCCUCGGGCUGGGAAAGGCUAGCAGUGGAUACACCUGAAACCUUGUCCCAGGGAUGACUUCCAGGGAACCUAAACCAAGACCUCCCUCUUCCUCCAUCCUUGAGUUCCUGCUCUGCUGCAGACACUUCAGAGACCACAGGAGACAUGGUGCCCAGCUCACAAACCAGAGACAAACCAGAAUGUCCUAUCAACCGCGGAUCAUCUUACAUACAGUUCUAAUGGGGACUGGAUGA